rnacentral:rRNA from 1 species
UACGUAGGGUGCAAGCGUUGUCCGGAAUUAUUGGGCGUAAAGAGCUCGUAGGCGGUUUGUCGCGUCUGCUGUGAAAAUCCGAGGCUCAACCUCGGGCCUGCAGUGGGUACGGGCAGACUAGAGUGCGGUAGGGGAGAUUGGAAUUCCUGGUGUAGCGGUGAAAUGCGCAGAUAUCAGGAAGAACACCCGUGGCUAAGGCGGCUCUCUAGUACGGUACUGACGCUGAGGAGCGAAAGCGUGGGGAGCAAACAGG